CUACGGGAGGCAGCAGUGGGGAAUUUUGCGCAAUGGGGGAAACCCUGACGCAGCGACGCCGCGUGGAGGAUGAAGUCCCUUGGGACGUAAACUCCUUUCGAUCGGGACGAUAAUGACGGUACCGGGAGAAGAAGCCCCGGCUAACUCCGUGCCAGCAGCCGCGGUAAUACGGGGGGGGCGAGCGUUGUUCGGAAUUAUUGGGCGUAAAGGGCGCGUAGGCGGUGUCGCAAGUCGGUAGUGAAAUCUCCAGGCUCAACCUGGAGUCUGCUGCCGAAACUGCGGUGCUUGAGUACUGGAGAGGUGAGUGGAAUUCCCGGUGUAGCGGUGAAAUGCGUAGAUAUCGGGAAGAACACCUGUGGCGAAAGCGGCUCACUGGACAGUAACUGACGCUGAGGCGCGAAAGCUAGGGGAGCAAACAGGAUUAGAUACACGCGUAC
rnacentral:rRNA from 1 species